rnacentral:rRNA from 1 species
UACGGAAGGCAGCAGUAGGGAAUAUUGGGCAAUGGAGGCAACUCUGACCCAGCCAUGCCGCGUGGAGGAUGAAGGCGCUCAGCGUUGUAAACUUCUUUUAACUGGAAGAACGAGCAGGGUGCGCCCUGUUGUGACGGUACCAGUGGAAUAAGCACCGGCUAACUCCGUGCCAGCAGCCGCGGUAAUACGGAGGGUGCAAGCGUUGUCCGGAUUUAUUGGGUUUAAAGGGUGCGUAGGUGGGAUCAUAAGUCUGGUUUUGAAAGCUGGUGGCUCAACCAUCAGAUGUGGCUGGAAACUGUGGUUCUUGAAUGGCGUAGCGGUAGCCGGAAUGGGUCAUGUAGCGGUGAAAUGCAUAGAUAUGACCCGGAAACACCGAUUGCGAAAGGCAGGGCUACUGGGGCGUCGAUUGACACUGAGGGCACGAGAGCAUGGGUAGCAAACAGGGAAUUAAGGAUACCCGGU